rnacentral:rRNA from 1 species
CAGCAGCCACGGGAAUACGGAGGGUGCAAGCGUUAAUCGGAAUUACUGGGCGUAAAGCGCACGCAGGCGGUCUGACAAGUCAGAUGUGAAAUCCCCGGGCUUAACCUGGGAACUGCAUUUGAAACUGUCAGGCUGGAGUCUUGUAGAGGGGGGUAGAAUUCCAGGUGUAGCGGUGAAAUGCGUAGAGAUCUGGAGGAAUACCGGUGGCGAAGGCGGCCCCCUGGACAAAGACUGACGCUCAGGUGCGAAAGCGUGGGGAGCAAACAGGAUUAGAGACCCGCGUAGUCCCUGUCUCUUAUAC